CAUCGGUGGUGGAGGGGGAGUCGGGACAGGGUCCGAGGCGUGGCGAGUUGUGUGUGAUGUUGAGAGUCCGAGCGAGGGGUGGUCGCAGAGGAUGAGGUGCAGAUUCUUAGUCGGAUUCCCUCCGAUGCGAAAGCAAGUGACGCGUCCCUGCGCUUCUGAUGUGUUUCUGUGAGUGCGUGAGGCGGUUCCCCUGCGUCCCUUCCCGGCGCGGUGAUGUGUCGAUGCGGGGGAGGGGGGCGGCGCGGGCGCGGUGUGGCGUUUGUUGGGCGAACGGAGGCUGCGGUGAGGAUUGACAGCUCCCUCUACUGAAUAGCAGUGAGGACACCGCUUGGCAUGAAUCGAACCAUAAAACCAUGGCCGACUCUGAGCAGCCUGCGUGGGUGAGGCGCGUGACGUUAGCGUGUGGUAGGUGACAUGGGGAUAUGAGGAUACUUUCCCCAAAUGAUCGACACUGAUUCGAGCUGUGCGUUCAUGCUCCAAGGAGCCAAGCCAGAAAUCUGAUCCCUGGGGGAGUUGCGUGGGUGAGUGGUGGGUGUGAGGCGGUGAGGUAGGGGGGCAGAGUCGGUGACGAUGAACUCAUAGGCUUGUUUCUCAAACAUUCGCAGUGGCCGCCUAAAGCUUUCGCCCCGCCGGGCUGGAGAGCUAAUGCAGCUUCCAAACCUUCCUUGGAUAUCUGAGACUCUGUGGGGGUGGUAGAGUGGUAGAGUGAGUGGGCCGUGUUUGGCGAUGAUUAGAAAACGCCCGCGCUUCUGAGGGGAAACCCGCUGAGGUGAAACGGACAAAAUGGUUGAAUUUCUUCGGAUGAGCCUUGCACGGGGGAGCGAUCAGAGAGCGUGGGGAGUCGGGGGGAGGGAGUGAGGUGUUGCGAGGAACCGAUGAUGACAAAAGCGGAGUGAAGCUUUCGAGCCUGUGAUCAUUCCAUUGUUACACACACUGAGGUUUGCAAGGGUGAGCAGGUGAGUAAGUGCACGGUGAAUGGGUGAAACAGGACACCGGAAGGGUGUACCUCUGAGAGCUCAUCCCACGAGAUUCGCUUGUCCCGAAGACCCACAACCGCACCCUUCUCAAUGAUUUGAUACUUAAACCCUCGUCAUUGAAAUAUAAGAGCAAGAUUUCUAAGCGAAGGAAAAAAAACUAGCUGGAUGUAAGUAAAGCUUUGCUCACUAGCAGAAAUCGAUAUUAAAAGUAUCAAAUGAACCAAAGGUAAAUAGUCAAAACAUGCCACAAACGAGUAGGGCAUGAAAAUUGUAAACAGUUAUAGGACACAAUGUCUUAAUAAAAGAAGAGAGUAAUUCUACGAAACUUGUCUGGGAUCUA